GCUGAGGCACUUUUGUCAUCUUAUGGGCAAAAUAGCGUUACUAACAAUCUUCAUAAUGAACAGCAAAUUCCUUUGCAGGGCAAAUCCAUUCAAUCUGAUCUCAUCAUUAAGGGGGCGAAGAUUUAUUCGGAUGCAGCUUUUCGAACUUCAAAAAUACCAGGUACUCUUCGAGGACAGGUUGGUACAGGUAUUGGUAUCUACUUUUCUCUUCCUGUUGAUCAUGGGGAGCUUAAUAUUCAGAUUCAGGCUUCUGCCCCUGCAACCAUUGAUCCCAUUCAGGCAGAAGCCACAGCCCUGGCUUGCGCUGCUCUGCUAGCAAAUUACUUGAAUGUGCAGCAACCUACUUUUUUAACUGACUGUCUUUCGCUUGCUUCUGCUGCUGCUUCUAAGAAUAUCUCCCAUCCUGCUACGCCUUGGAAUAUCAGAAAUGACUUAGCUUCUUUUAUUAAAAAUUACACUAAUCUCAAUGCUCAGGUCUUUCAUAUUUCCAGGAAUCUAAAUGGAGUAGCUCACAACCUUGCUCAGCAGGUGUAUCAGGCAACAAAUCAACCUAUAAUGUCUUGCUCAACUCGAUCACAUGCUGCAAACUUCUGUCCAGUGGCGGCUGCUUUAGCUCAUUUCUCUGUCACAGGCUACCGUCUACACAAGGUGUACUGUUAC
rnacentral:rRNA from 1 species